AAAUUAUCUCAAUCCCGUUCAUACAUUCCAGGAUCAAGGCUUCUACAACUAUGAAAUAUUUUCAACCUGUCCUCACUCCCACUAUCUUGAUUGGGAAUUCACUCUAUUGGUCAUAUGUUCUUGGCGGAGCUUGCAUAAUUGAGUUUGAUUUGGACACGCAGAGGCUGGCAUUGAUAGAGCCGCCGCCAGAUGCAUAUGCCCACGACGAUACCGUUUUCGCGGUUAUGCCGGCUGAAGAUGGUGGCCUUGGCUUAAUCGUUGUGUCGGGCUUCCGUGCCCAACUAUGGAAGUGGAAAGCUGGUGUUCGUCACGACGAUGUGACAUGGGUUCUGGGAAGGAUCGUUGAACUAGACAAGCUUCUUCCUCUAGGAGCAGCAGGCAAGAGGAAGCCUCUAGCCUUAGUGGGAUUCGACGAGGAAAACAAUGUGACCCUUGUAAGGACAUCUUGUGGCAUCUUCAUGGUCCAUCUCCAGUCAAUGACGUUCAAGAGACUCUGCAACAGUGGCAGUGCCAGGGAUAUCCAUAUCUAUAAUGCAUUCCCAAGUUUCUAUGAUGCAGGCAAUGGCAUUGGUGAUGGGCAUGGUGAAGGUGAAGCGUUGGACGAUAUGUAAUAAUGUUUUUCUUUCCUGGUGGGAUAUACAUUGCUGGUUGGCAAGCUGCAUUUUUUACUUGAGGAUUCAUAUAUUUUGUUCUUCUCUUGGAAGUAUUACUAGCUCUUACUGUGAUUGGCAACGGCAUUGGUGAUUGGCAUGGUGAAGGUGAAGCACUGGAUGAUAUAUAUAAGAUGUUUUCUGUUGGGUGGGAUGUACUCCCCCCGUUUCAAAAUAGUUGACUCAAUUUUGUACAAAAGUUAGUACAAAGUUAAGUCAUCUAUUUUGGAACGGAGGGAGUACAUUGCUGGUUGCUACGCUCUGGUGACCGAAAAGACCAGUGGCAUAAAAGAUUGUCUCCUGGAGAAUUUUGAUGCUCUCUCUGGAUAUUUAUCUAGGCUGGUUUGCUAUUUCAGACUGCCAGGACACAGUGGUUUUCCUUGAUGAUUGCUAUUUUUUUUCCUUCUCAUGGCAGUACACAUAUUAGUUCACAUUCAUAAGGCAUUCACACUGAUUUUCCAGGUUGCCUCAUAGUAUGCACCUAGAUUCAGAAAAUACACUUUGGCACUAGACAUUAAUAAUAUUGCUGCCCAUUUUGGAUUUGCUGUCCGGAUGGAUUAAUUAAUGCCAUGAUUUACUAUC